UAGAAGUAAUGCAGUAGAAGUAGUGCAGAAGAGGUAGUGCAGUAGAGGUAGAGCAGUAGAGGUAGUGCAGUAGAAGUAGAGCAGUAGAAGUAAUGCAGUAGAGGUAGUGCAGUAGAAGUAGAACAGUACAAGUAGGUAGUGCAGUAGAUGUAGAGCAGUAGAAGUAGUGCAGUAGAAGUAGUGCAGUAGAGGUAGUGCAGUAGAAGUAGUGCAGUAGAGGUAGUGCAGUGGAGGUAGUGCAGUAGAAGUAGAGCAGUAGAAGUAGUGCAGUAGAGGUAGAGCAGUAGAAGUAGUGCAGUAGAGGUAGUGCAGUAGAAGUAGAGCAGUAGAGGUAGUGCAGUAGAAGUAGAGCAGUAGAAGUAGAGCAGUAGAGGUAGUGCAGUAGAGGCAGAGCAGUAGAAGUAGAGCAGUAGAGGUAGUGCAGUAGAAGUAGAGCAGUAGAAGUAGAGCAGUAGAAGUAGUGCAGUAGAAGUAGAGCAGUAGAGGUAGUGCAGUAGAAGUAGUGCAGUAGAGGUGGAGCAGUAGAAGUAGUGCAGUAGAGGUAGUGCAGUAGAGGCAGAGCAGUAGAAGUAGAGCAGUAGAAGUAGUGCAGUAGAAGUAGUGCAGUAGAGGUAGUGCAGUAGAGGCAGAGCAGUAGAAGUAGAGCAGUAGAAGUAGUGCAGUAGAGGUAGUGCAGUAGAAGUAGAGCAGUAGAAGUAGAGGUAGUGCAGUAGAGGCAGAGCAGUAGAAGUAGAGCAGUAGAGGUAGUGCAGUAGAAGUAGAGCAGUAGAGGUAGAGCAGUAGAAGUAGUGCAGUAGAA
ensembl:lncRNA